UACGUAGGGACCAAGCGUUGUUCGGAUUUACUGGGCGUAAAGGGCGCGUAGGCGGCAAUUCAAGUCAGCUGUGAAAUCUCCGAGCUUAACUCGGAACGGUCAGCUGAUACUGUUUUGCUAGAGUGCAGAAAGGGCAACCGGAAUUCUUGGUGUAGCGGUGAAAUGCGCAGAUAUCUGGAGGAAUACCGGUGGCGAAGGCGGCAUCCUGGACCGACAUUGACGCUGAUGAGCGAAAGCUAGGGGAGCAAACGGG
rnacentral:rRNA from 1 species